AGUUUCUGACCCUCUGCGAUUUCACACCAAUCUCCUUGGGGACGCACAGCCCUGGGCGUGUGCGAAGGAAUUUGAUAUGGGACACAUUUUUGCCCUGGGCCUCAAGCCCCAGAGCCACAAGAAGAGACACACAGUGUGACUUCAGAGCAGCUUUGGGGAUUUUUUUUUAUCCCCCAGGUGAUCUCUGAUAUUCCCCGCGGGAUUUUUUAAUUCUCUGAAUCGAGGAUCAGACGGAUCUGCCGGCACCCAGGCCUGGUUGUACACCUUGCGCGUGGGCGUGGUCAUCUCUUGCACAACUUAACAAGUGCACCCCUAGGGACUUGCCUUGUGGCCAUUACUGGCGUCCUGUGGGGUGGGGUGUCUGCCAUUGCUGUGCUCCAGUGCACUCCACUGUAUCUGUAAGGCUAACCUGCCCUGGAGAUAGGAAGCCCAUGGGAGCAGAGAGGAGGGACCUUGUCUGCCUCUCAGCCUUUGCUUCUGCAGGGGAAGAACUUACCUUCAAUCCCUGAUCUGCCCACUACCGAGCCUCAAGUCAGCAGCAUCAGGUGGUGGAAUGUGGUGUCCAGAAGAGAUGUCCAGUCUCCGGGUUUUUCUAGUCAUUUCCUGGGAAGACACGGCUGAUGGAAGUCAUCUUAAGAGCAUGCAAACCAUGGACGAGAGCAAAGAUAACCAGGAGAG